rnacentral:rRNA from 1 species
AGUGAACGCUGGCGGCGUGCUUAACACAUGCAAGUCGAACGAGAACGGAAUAUAGCUUGCUAUAUUUGUCAGCUAAGUGGCGCACGGGUGAGUAAUGUAUAGAUAACCUGCCCUUAAGAAAGGAAUAACAGUUGGAAACGACUGCUAAUGCCCUAUAUGCCUUUAAUACAUAAGUAUGCAAGGGAAACGCUUUAGUGCUUAAGGAUGGGUCUGUAUGGUAUCAGCUUGUUGGUGAGGUAAUGGCUCACUAAGGCUAUGACGCCUAACUGGUUUGAGAGGAUGAUCAGUCACACUGGAAUGGAGACACGGUCCAGACGCCUACGGGAGGCAGCAGUGGGGAAUAUUGCACAAUGGACGAAAGUCUGAUGCAGCAACGCCGCGUGGAGGAUGACACAUUUCGGUGCGUAAACUCCUUUUAUAUAGGAAGAUAAUGACGGUACUAUAUGAAUAAGCACCGGCUAACUCCGUGCCAGCCGCCGCCGUAA